GCGGCAUGCUUUACACAUGCAAGUCGAACGGUAACAGGGAGCUUGCUCCGCUGACGAGUGGCGAACGGGUGAGUAAUAUAUCGGAACGUACCCAAGAGUGGGGGAUAACGUAGCGAAAGUUACGCUAAUACCGCAUACGAUCCAAGGAUGAAAGCAGGGGACCGCAAGGCCUUGUGCUCCUGGAGCGGCCGAUAUCUGAUUAGCUAGUUGGUAGGGUAAAGGCCUACCAAGGCAUCGAUCAGUAGCUGGUCUGAGAGGACGACCAGCCACACUGGAACUGAGACACGGUCCAGACUCCUACGGGAGGCAGCAGUGGGGAAUUUUGGACAAUGGGCGCAAGCCUGAUCCAGCAAUGCCGCGUGAGUGAAGAAGGCCUUCGGGUUGUAAAGCUCUUUUGUCAGGGAAGAAACGGGUGUGGCUAAUAUCUGCAUCUAAUGACGGUACCUGAAGAAUAAGCACCGGCUAACUACGUGCCAGCAGCCGCGGUAAUACGUAGGGUGCAAGCGUUAAUCGGAAUUACUGGGCGUAAAGCGUGCGCAGGCGGUUUUGUAAGUCUGUUGUGAAAUCCCCGGGCUUAACCUGGGAAUGGCAAUGGAGACUGCAAGGCUAGAGUUUGGCAGAGGGGGGUAGAAUUCCACGUGUAGCAGUGAAAUGCGUAGAGAUGUGGAGGAACACCGAUGGCGAAGGCAGCCCCCUGGGUCAAGACUGACGCUC
rnacentral:rRNA from 1 species